UGCAAGUCGACGAACUCUGGUAUUGAUUGGUGCUUGCAUCAUGAUUUACAUUUGAGUGAGUGGCGAACUGGUGAGUAACACGUGGGAAACCUGCCCAGAAGCGGGGGAUAACACCUGGAAACAGAUGCUAAUACCGCAUAACAACUUGGACCGCAUGGUCCGAGUUUGAAAGAUGGCUUCGGCUAUCACUUUUGGAUGGUCCCGCGGCGUAUUAGCUAGAUGGUGGGGUAACGGCUCACCAUGGCAAUGAUACGUAGCCGACCUGAGAGGGUAAUCGGCCACAUUGGGACUGAGACACGGCCCAAACUCCUACGGGAGGCAGCAGUAGGGAAUCUUCCACAAUGGACGAAAGUCUGAUGGAGCAACGCCGCGUGAGUGAAGAAGGGUUUCGGCUCGUAAAACUCUGUUGUUAAAGAAGAACAUAUCUGAGAGUAACUGUUCAGGUAUUGACGGUAUUUAACCAGAAAGCCACGGCUAACUACGUGCCAGCAGCCGCGGUAAUACGUAGGUGGCAAGCGUUGUCCGGAUUUAUUGGGCGUAAAGCGAGCGCAGGCGGUUUUUUAAGUCUGAUGUGAAAGCCUUCGGCUCAACCGAAGAAGUGCAUCGGAAACUGGGAAACUUGAGUGCAGAAGAGGACAGUGGAACUCCAUGUGUAGCGGUGAAAUGCGUAGAUAUAUGGAAGAACACCAGUGGCGAAGGCGGCUGUCUGGUCUGUAACUGACGCUGAGGCUCGAAAGUAUGGGUAGCAAACAGGAUUAGAUACCCUGGUAGUCCAUACCGUAAACGAUGAAUGCUAAGUGUUGGAGGGUUUCCGCCCUUCAGUGCUGCAGCUAACGCAUUAAGCAUUCCGCCUGGGGAGU
rnacentral:rRNA from 1 species